CCUUGGUUCUAAAUUGUGGCGCGUGUAUUUAACUAUUUAUUUGUGCCACAAUGAUGUUUUGCUACAAUUACUGAUAUAUUGACUCAUUGGUAUUGCUAGCUUAUUGCACAUUUAUUUUUCUACUAGAAGCGUUCCACGCGCUUCGCUGCGGCAUCUUGUGAAAGAUGCAGUGCUUCCAAGAUUUAUAUCAAAGAGAGGCACAAAGAUGCAGUGCUUCCAAGCUGAUAUGCAAUGCUUUAUAGUAUGCCUUAUACGGUUGAUAUUCUAAAGAUGCUUGUAAGGUGCCUUAUCUAUAUUAUUUUACUGAUGCUGACUAAUCAAAGACUGCCUACACAACUUGUCUUGUAUAAAUAAAAGAAAAAGUUGGCUCACUGACGCAUCAACUUCCUGAUGCAUAUACAGUGCAGGAGGAUGCAGAUAUGGGCACAACAAUGGAGUUAAUACUUCUACGAACAUGGUCAAUCCCUAAGAACAUUUUUGUUACAAAAGCUGGAUUUCGCUAAGACUGGAGGUGUCAACCUAAAUGCAAAUAUAUCACACGGAAUGACAGCAGUCGAAAACCAUUUUAUCUGCAUUGUAUAAUUUUCCACACAGAUUAAUUACAAUAUUUAUUCUA